rnacentral:rRNA from 1 species
GUGAGGAAUAUUGGUCAAUGGGCGAGAGCCUGAACCAGCCAAGUCGCGUGAAGGAAGAAGGAUCUAUGGUUCGUAAACUUCUUUUGCAGGGGAAUAAAGUGCAGGACGUGUCCUGUUUUGUAUGUACCCUGAGAAUAAGGAUCGGCUAACUCCGUGCCAGCAGCCGCGGUAAUACGGAGGAUCCGAGCGUUAUCCGGAUUUAUUGGGUUUAAAGGGUGCGUAGGUGGUUUGAUAAGUCAGCGGUGAAAGUUUGCAGCUUAACUGUAAAAAUGCCGUUGAAACUGUCGGACUUGAGUGUAAAUGAGGUAGGCGGAAUGCGUUGUGUAGCGGUGAAAUGCAUAGAUAUCACGCAGAACUCCGAUUGCGAAGGCAGCUUACUAAGCUACAACUGACACUGAAGCACGAAAGCGUGGGGAUCAAACAGGAUUAGAAACCCGGGUAGUCC